rnacentral:rRNA from 1 species
GACGAACGCUGGCGGCGUGCCUAACACAUGCAACUCGAACGGAAAGGCCCUGCUUUUGUGGGUUUGUCGAGUGCCGAGCAGGUGUGUAACACGUGUGCACCCCCCCCCUUACUUUGGGAUAACUUUACGGAACUCGUGAUAAUACCUCAUAGAAGCUCCUGCUCCCUGGGGGGGUUUGGAAAAAUUCGGUGGUUGGGGAUUGUCUCGCGGCUUAUGAGCUGGUUGGUUGGGUAGUGGCUGACCAAGUUGUUGACGGGUAGCCGGCCUGAGAGGGGGACCGGCCACAUUGGGACUGAGAUACGGACCAGACUCCUACGGGAGGCAGCAGUGGGGAAUAUUGCACAAUGGGCGGGAGCCUGAUGCAGCAACGCCGCGUGCGGGAUGACGGCCUUCGGGUUGUAAACCGCUUUCGACUGUGACGAAGCGUGAGUGACGGUAAUGGGUAAAGAAGCACCGGCUAACUACGUG